rnacentral:tRNA from 1 species
GGUGCAUUGCUGUAAUGGUAUCAGAGUAGGUUGCUAACCUAUCCAACAGAAAUGUUGUACACGUUCGAAUCGUGUAUGCACCGC